CAGUAGCCGCGGUAAUACAGAGGGUGCGAGCGUUAAUCGGAUUUACUGGGCGUAAAGCGUGCGUAGGCGGCCUUUUAAGUCGGAUGUGAAAUCCCUGAGCUUAACUUAGGAAUUGCAUUCGAUACUGGGAAGCUAGAGUAUGGGAGAGGAUGGUAGAAUUCCAGGUGUAGCGGUGAAAUGCGUAGAGAUCUGGAGGAAUACCGAUGGCGAAGGCAGCCAUCUGGCCUAAUACUGACGCUGAGGUACGAAAGCAUGGGGAGCAAACAGGAUUAGAUACCCCUUAGUCCCUGUCUCUUAUACC
rnacentral:rRNA from 1 species